UACGAAGGGUGCAAGCGUUACUCGGAAUUACUGGGCGUAAAGCGUGCGCAGGCGGUUUUGUAAGCCAGAUGUGAAAUCCCCCGGGCUUAACCUGGGAAUGGCAUUGGAAACUGGCGGGCUGGAGUGUGGCAGAGGGGGGUGGAAUUCCACGUGUAGCAGUGAAAUGCGUAGAGAUGUGGAGGAACACCGAUGGCGAAGGCAGCCCCCUGGGCCAACACUGACGCUCAGGCACGAAAGCGUGGGGAGCAAACAGG
rnacentral:rRNA from 1 species